CCUACGGGGCGCAGCAGUAGGGAAUCUUCGGCAAUGGACGAAAGUCUGACCGAGCAACGCCGCGUGAGUGAAGAAGGUUUUCGGAUCGUAAAACUCUGUUGUUAGAGGAGAACAAGUAGGAGAGUAACUGCUCUUACCUUGACGGUAUCUAACCAGAAAGCCACGGCUAACUACGUACCAGCAGCCGCGGUAAUACGUAGGUGGCAAGCGUUGUCCGGAUUUAUUGGGCGUAAAGCGAGCGCAGGCGGUCUUUUAAGUCUGAUGAGAAAGCCCUCGGCUCAACCGAGGAAGGUCAUUGGAAACUGGAGGACUUGAGUGCAGAAGAGGAGAGUGGAAUUCCAUGUGUAGCGGUGAAAUGCGUAGAUAUAUGGAAGAACACCAGUGGCGAAGGCGACUCUCUGGUCUGUAACUGACGCUGAGGCUCGAAAGCGUGGGGAGCAAGCAGGAUUAGAUACCCUGGUAGUC
rnacentral:rRNA from 1 species